rnacentral:other from 1 species
AUCACCCUGGGCUAUUCGCCAGCGAUUAAGACCUCGAGCCGAUAAUCUGAAUUUCGGAGGUUCCUGCGCUGGUGCUGUGAGCAUGUCCAAACCUUAACGGCCCCCUGACUUCGGUCAUGGCCCGCGGGUACUGGAAAGCCUUUUGCGCCACUAGGGCCGCCACCUUGAACUCCAUGGUUCAAGGGCUUUAUUUUGCAGCGGUAGUCUGGGGUUUCU